CAGUAGCCGCGGGAAUACGUAGGGAGCAAGCGUUGUUCGGAUUUACUGGGCGUAAAGGGCGCGUAGGCGGCGCGGUAAGUCACUUGUGAAAUCUCUGAGCUUAACUCAGAACGGCCAAGUGAUACUGCUGUGCUAGAGUGCGGAAGAGGCAACCGGAAUUCUUGGUGUAGCGGUGAAAUGCGUAGAUAUCAAGAGGAACACCUGAGGCGAAGGCGGGUUGCUGGGCCGACACUGACGCUGAUGCGCGAAAGCCAGGGGAGCAAACAGGAUUAGAUACCCCCGUAGUCCCUGUCUCUUAUAC
rnacentral:rRNA from 1 species